GGGGAUCCCACAAUGCGAAAGAUUCAGGAUACCUUCGGGACCCGUCUUGAAACACGGACCAUGGAGUCUAACAUAUGUGCAAGUUAUUGGGAUGUAAACCUAAUAGCGUAAUUAACUUGACUAAUAAUGGGAUUAGUUUUUUAGCUAUUUAUAGCUAAUUAACACAAUCCCGGGGCGUUCUAUAUAGUUAUGUAUAAUGUAUAUUUAUAUUAUUUAUGCCUCUAACUGGAACGUACCUUGAGCAUAUAUGCUGUGACCCGAAAGAUGGUGAACUAUACUUGAUCAGGUUGAAGUCAGGGGAAACCCUGAUGGAAGACCGAAACAGUUCUGACGUGCAAAUCGAUUGUCAGAAUUGAGUAUAGGGGCGAAAGACCAAUCGAACCAUCUAGUAGCUGGUUCCUUCCGAAGUUUCCCUCAGGAUAGCUGGUGCAUUUUAAUAUUAUAUAAAAUAAUCUUAUCUGGUAAAGCGAAUGAUUAGAGGCCUUAGGGUCGAAACGAUCUUAACCUAUUCUCAAACUUUAAAUGGGUAAGAACCUUAACUUUCUUGAUAUGAAGUUCAAGGUUAUGAUAUAAUGUGCCCAGUGGGCCACUUUUGGUAAGCAGAACUGGCGCUGUGGGGUGAACCAAACGUAAUGUUACGGUGCCCAAAUUAACAACUCAUGCAGAUACCAUGAAAGGCGUUGGUUGCUUAAAACAGCAGGACGGUGAUCAUGGAAGUCGAAAUCCGCUAAGGAGUGUGUAACAACUCACCUGCCGAAGCAACUAGCCCUUAAAAUGGAUGGCGCUUAAGUUGUAUACCUAUACAUUACCGCUAAAGUAGAUGAUUUAUAUUACUUGUGAUAUAAUUUUGAAACUUUAGUGAGUAGGAAGGUACAAUGGUAUGCGUAGAAUGUUUGGCGUAACCUGCAUGGAGCUGCCAUGGUACAAAUCUUGGUGGUAGAACAAAAAUCGAUGAGACUUGGAGGAUGAAGUGGAGAGGUUUCGUGUGAAAGUGGUUAUACGAGUAGUCGGCCUAGUCAGGAAAGCAAAUUUUAGUAA
rnacentral:ncRNA from 1 species